rnacentral:sRNA from 1 species
AUCCUCGGCCUGUUGCGGGCAGAUGAAGUGGAUGUGGGAAUCGAUGCCGCCCGCGGUGACGAUCAGUCCCUCGCCGGCGAUGAUUUCCGUCGCGGCGCCGAUGGCGAUCGUGACGUUGGGCUGGAUGUCCGGGUUGCCGGCCUUGCCGAUGCCCGCGAUCUUGCCACCCUUGAUGCCGAUGUCGGCCUUCACGAUGCCCCAGUGAUCGACGAUGGUCGCAUUGGUGAUCACCGUGUCCACCACGUCCGCAUGAUUGCGCUGCGACUGCCCCAUGCCGUCGCGGAU